rnacentral:ncRNA from 1 species
CGGCUACACUACGGGCGCGGAACCGAGGCUGCAUCUGUACAUCAAAGACUGCAUGUCUGGGGUGUGUUGACUGGCCAAGGUGAAGCUGAGAAGUACCGUAAGAACUCGAUCAAGAUAAUACUUGCGUGAGGAACGUGCUGCCGCUACUCU